rnacentral:rRNA from 1 species
CCCUUAGAUGUUCUGGGCCGCACACGCGCUACACUGAAGGAGGCAGCGUGUACUCCUGGAUCGAAAGAUUUGGGUAACCCGCGAAUCUCCUUCGUGCUAGGGAUUGAGGUUUGCAAUUAUCCUUCAUGAACGAGGAAUUCCCAGUAAGUGCAAGUCAUAAGCUUGCGCUGACUACGUCCCUGCCCUUUGUACACACCGCCCGUCGCUACUACCGAUUGAAUGAUUUAGUGAGGACUUCGGACUGGGACCGAUGCGGCUUUCGGGCUGCGUCGGUAUUCUGGAAAGAUGUCCAAACUGUAUCAUUUAGAGGAAGUAAAAGUCGUAAUA